rnacentral:rRNA from 1 species
UACAGAGACUGCAAGCGUUAUUCGGAUUCACUGGGCGUAAAGGGUGCGCAGGCGGCCGUGUGUGUGAGGCGUGAAAGCCCGGAGCUCAACUCCGGAAUUGCACCUCAAACUACAUGGCUAGAGCAUUGGAGAGGGAAGCGGAAUUCACGGUGUAGCAGUGAAAUGCGUAGAUAUCGUGAGGAACACCAGAGGCGAAGGCGGCUUCCUGGACAAUUGCUGACGCUCAGGCACGAAAAGCGUGGGGGAGCAAAAAGGGAUUGAGAUACCCUUG